rnacentral:rRNA from 1 species
UACGGAGGGUGCAAGCAUUGAUCGGAAUUACUGGGUGUAAAGGGCGCGUAGGCGGCAGGAUAAGUCGGAUGUGAAAUUCCGGGGCUCAACCCCGGAGCUGCAUUUGAAACUAUCCAGCUAGAGGUUAGUAAGGGAAAACGGAAUUCCACGUGUAGCGGUGAAAUGCGUAGAUAUGUGGAAGAACACCGGUGGUGAAGACGGUUUUCUGUGCUAAACCUGACGCUGAGGCGCGAAAGCUAGGGGAGCAAACAGG